rnacentral:rRNA from 1 species
GACGAACGCUGGCGGCGUGCUUAACACAUGCGAGUCGAGCGGAAAGGCCCUUCGGGGUACUCGAGCGGCGAACGGGUGAGUAACACGUGAGUAACCUGCCCCAGACUUUGGGAUAACCCUCGGAAACGGGGGCUAAUACCGGAUACGACACAGCUUCGCAUGGGGUCUGUGUGGAAAGUUUUUCGGUUUGGGAUGGGCUCGCGGCCUAUCAGCUUGUUGGUGGGGUGAUGGCCUACCAAGGCGACGACGGGUAGCCGGCCUGAGAGGGCGACCGGCCACACUGGGACUGAGACACGGCGCAGACUCCUACGGGAGGCAGCAGUGGGGAAUAUUGCACAAUGGGCGGAAGCCUGCUGCAGCGACGCCGCGUGAGGGAUGACGGCCUUCGGGUUGUAAACCUCUUUCAGCAGGGACGAAGCGUAAGUGACGGUACCUGCAGAAGAAGCGCCGGCCAACUACGUG